rnacentral:misc_RNA from 1 species
CAUUAUCAAAGGCUGCAUUAAAUUAUGGACGUGCUCGUGCUCAGAUGGAGAAGGAACGUGGUAAUCUACUGAAAGCUUUUGGUACACAGGUCGCAGAGCCAUUAAGAGCAAUGGUAAUGGGAGCUCCAUUGGAGGAUGCUCGGCAUCUUGCAUGCUCGACAUCUUGCACAACGUUAUGACAGAAUGCGACAAGAAGCAGAAGCUCAGGCCAUAGAAGUUUCNGCACAACGUUAUGAAAGAAUGCGGCAAGAAGCAGAAGCUCAGGCUAUUGAAGUUUCCAAACGACAGGCAAAAGUGAGAGAAAUGCCAGGAAGUAGCUUGCUAUGAAAUUAGAAGCUGCCGAAUCAAAGCUGCAAGACCUGAAGUCAAACAUGGCAGUAUUGGGGAAGGAAGCAGCUGCAGCAAUGGCUGCUGUUGAAGCUCAACAACAGAGGUUGACUCUCCAGCGACUUAUUGCAAUGGUCGAAGCAGAACGUGCUUAUCACCAGAGAGUUAUUCAGAUACUUGAUCAGCUUGAAAAUGAGAUGAUAUCUGAACGACAAAGAAUUGAAGCACCUCCUACCCCAAGUGUGGAGAACAACAUGGCACCACCACCUUCAUAUGAAGAAGUAAAUGGUGUGUACGCUUCUCAAUCGCAUAAUGGCUCAACAGAUGGCAUGGGUUACUUUUUGGGGGAGGUGAUGCAUUCUUAUCAAGCUGAAUCUGAUGUGGAGCUGACUUUAUCAGUUGGUGAUUAUGUUGUUGUUCGAAAGGUGACAAACAAUGGCUGGGCAGAAGGAGAAUGCAAAGGGAAAGCAGGUUGGUUCCCAUUUGCGUACAUUGAAAGAAGGGAACGUGUUCUAGCAAGCAAGAUAGCUGAAGUGUUUUAGAGCUUUCUGCCGGAUUGACUUGUGAGUUGAGGAUUUUGUGUGCUUGAUUUGCUCUGCAUAUACUCAAAUGUGAAGGAAGGAUGGUCACAAAUAGAAUGCCAUAGCAUUUCUCCUUGUGAUAUAUAGAUGGCAACAUUUUCUUGUGUUGUUAUUAAUAUAUGAAUGUAUCAUUUUUUUUUUAAAGAAUGUCGUCAAGAUUUUGACCCAAAUUAGUGUGAAUGAUGAUUGAAGAUACCUUUUACUCAAA